UGUAUCUAACUGCUAACUGUAUUUAAAAAUGAAACUGUAUACAAACGAAAAUAAUCCAUUAUCACUGAAAGUGUUAAUUUCGGCUAAUUUUGCUCAGAAAGAUCUGAGGCCCGAAAUCACUAACGUGGACGAUGCUGCUUUUGCUGUGGCCUCCUUCAGUCAUUGUUAUUAAAAGGCAGAAAACAUGUCAGGACUUUCCAUUUUUACCGUAUUUACCCUUUAAAGCCAAGUGGUAACAUGCACCACCAGCGUUAAUGAUGGGUAACUCUGCACAUGUUCACAAAGUUUAUUUAUGGGUUUCGUAUGGUUCUCAAUGCAAGCAGCAAUUAUUUUUUUGAACCACCUGAUCUUACUAAUGAAGAAGUAUUGUAUUUCCUUUGUAUUGUAUUAUUAUUAUGACUUUUUCCACAUUCUAUUGUCAUCUGACUAUCUUAUGGAUCCAUGGAAUGUAAUAAAAUAUGUUUGUAUGUACA